rnacentral:rRNA from 1 species
GUAGAGAAUACCAAGGCGCUUGAGAGAACUCGGGUGAAGGAACUAGGCAAAAUGGUGCCGUAACUUCGGGAGAAGGCACGCUGAUAUGUAGGUGAAGUGGUUUACCCAUGGAGCUGAAAUCAGUCGAAGAUACCAGCUGGCUGCAACUGUUUAUUAAAAACACAGCACUGUGCAAACACGAAAGUGGACGUAUACGGUGUGACGC